UUUACAGGAAAUGGUGACUAUUACAGCAGUGGAAAUGAUUUGUCUAACUUCGCUGAUAUUCCCUCUGGUGGAGUAGAAGAGAAAGCUAAAAAUAGUGCUAUUUUUUUGAGGGAUUUUGUAGGCUGUUUUAUAGAUUUUCCUAAGCCUCUGAUUGCCGUGGUAAAUGGUCCAGCUGUGGGAAUUUCUGUCACCCUCCUUGGAUUAUUUGAUGCUGUGUAUGCUUCUGAUAGGGUAGGUCAGCUCCCAGAAACUCAUACAAGGUAAACAAGUAGAGAGAAAAAUGAGAGCUUGUGAAUUCUCCUUGAUUUUUGCUAAUAGUAUAUGAUAACAUGUGGCUUAUGGUAGAAUGGACUAAAUUUAGAUUCUACUCAAAUAAUUAGUCUAAUCUGAUUUUAUUUUUCCUUCAUUAUUAACUUGAAUGUUUCUAAACACUACUAUUGUUGUGAACAUUGUUCCAACUCUGAUGGUUCUAUAGUCUAAUAAAAUUAUGCAACAGUU